CCUACGGGAGGCAGCAGUGGGGAAUAUUGCACAAUGGGGGAAACCCUGAUGCAGCGACGCCGCGUGAGUGAAGAAGUAAUUCGUUAUGUAAAGCUCUAUUAGCAGGGAAGAAAAUGACGGUACCUGAGUAAGAAGCCCCGGCUAACUACGUGCCAGCAGCCGCGGUAAUACGGAGGGGGCAAGCGUUAUCCGGAUUUACUGGGUGUAAAGGGAGCGUAGACGGGAGGGCAAGUAUGGAGGGAAAGGCGGGGGCUUAACCCCCGGACUGCUGUUGAAACUGUACGGCUGGAGUGCGGGAGAGGUAAGUGGAAUUCCUGGUGUAGCGGUGAAAUGCGUAGAUAUUAGGAGGAACACCAGUGGCGAAGGCGGCUUACUGGACUAUAACUGACGUUGAGGCUCGAAAGCGUGGGGAGCAAACAGGAUUAGAUACCCGAGUAGUC
rnacentral:rRNA from 1 species